AGGGUUCGAUUCUGGCUCAGGAUGAACGCUAGCGGCAGGCCUAAUACAUGCAAGUCGAACGGGAUAGGCUCCUUCGGGGGCCUUGAGAGUGGCGCACGGGUGCGCAACGCGUAUGCAACCAACCCCCGACAGGCGGAUAGCCGGUGGAAACGCCGGAUAAUACGCCAUGGUUCCGUGGGAGGGCAUCCUCCUGAGGAUAAAGCCGAGAGGCGGUCGGGGACGGGCAUGCGUCCCAUUAGAUGGUAGGCGGGGUGACGGCCCACCUAGUCCACGAUGGGUAGGGGAUCUGAGAGGACGGUCCCCCACACUGGUACUGAGACACGGACCAGACUCCUGCGGGAGGCAGCAGUAAGGGAUAUUGGUCAAUGGGCGGAAGCCUGAACCAGCCCAUGCCGCGUGAGGGAAUGAGGCCCUACGGGUCGUGAACCUCUUUUAUUCGGGGACAAGGACGCGGUCGGGAACCGUGUUUGAGGGUACCGAAGGAAUAAGCGUCGGCUAACUCCGUGCCAGCAGCGGC
rnacentral:rRNA from 1 species